rnacentral:lncRNA from 1 species
GGGGAUGAGCCACAGCCUGGAGGAGCUGAGGAGGCCACAUCACAUGAGGAAGCUUUACUGUUUCCCCUUCUCCUGAAAUGUGUCUGGGAUGGAGAGUGUGGAGAGUGGGCCCACCUUUAUCUGGGUCCACUCAGGCUGCUGCAGAGACUACCCCAGACUGGGUGGCUGAUAGACAAGACAUUCAUUUUCCACACUUCCUGAGACUGAGAAGUCUGAGUUGAAGAAACCUGGAAGCAAGGAAGCCGCCACCAUGAUGCAGCGGGGAGUCCGAGGCCCUGGGAGGUCAUAUGACUCAUUCACGGUCAUCCUGCUGUGGCAGAGAUGCGAUGAAGCCCUGGCUUUGACCCCAACCCCAGGUGCCAGAGUCUUCCCUGCCCUGUACAGCCCUGCUCAUGCCAUGGUCUCCUGUGGACGUUCCCUCCUUCCCACGUUGGCGGUAUUGCUGUCCAAGCUUUGCAGGGGAGGAAUCUGAGGAAUUGAGAAGUCAAGUAACACACCCAAUAGGAUAACUAGGCCUUCUUGGCAGCCAACCUCGAAGCACCACAUCGGGCUUUGAAAUGUGCGGGGCCUUUGAGAUUCAGCGCAUCUGAAUCUGAAUUUAUGCCCUCUCACUUGCUGGAAUCUACUGAUCUGUCCACUGUUCCUGGAAGAAAUACUUUGUUUUCAUGUGUCAGUUGCCUUUCCAGCCUGACUGUCAGCCCAAGGUCGCAGGAGAAGAUCUGAUUGCAUGUCCUUGCUUUUGCUGCUCCCAUUCCAAGAACCAGCUUCCUCCUCUGGAAGGUCGACUGAGGGGUGCUUGACUGGACUUGGCUCAAGGCUGCAAGUGGUCCAGGUCUGCUCUGUGUGUCUUUCAUCCUCCCCAACCAGUUAGAAAACGUGAUAUCCUCUUCUACGAUGAUGAUGGAAAUACAAAAUUGGUGUUCAGGCACUUCAGGACCUCUCACCUCUGUGAAGGGACUUGGGAGACACCCAGAAAAUGAUGAAAAAUGGAGUGAAUGAGACAUUAAGCCAGUUGUGCACCAUUACCCAGCUUGCAGCCCCAUCUCCUGAGGCCAGUUGCCUAGUGGAUGCUGGAGGCAGCAUUUGGACUCAGGCAGUCGAAUCCCAGAGCCCGAAUCCUGCCGUUCUCACUGUCAUCCUGGAGCUCCAGAGCCUGUGGUCCCUCAGCUGGCAACCUCACAGGCAGGCCAGCCCCUCCCCAAGCUCAUUUUCCUUAUGGCCUUGCACUGACCUCAACUUUCUUGGACAUCAAAUGGACCCACUGGGCCGCUCCAGGUGUUUCCUUGCCUCCUCUUCUGAAAAUUCGGGACCGCCAUACAGACACCUCCCGGCUCUUCUGUGUGGUCAGGCGCCCUGUCCAUCUUCCUCGCGCUGACUCUCCAGACUCUUUGGAAAGAGUAAAUCCGUGUGCAGAGCACCUGGCUCCAGAGCUUUGGGGCCUCAGGCCCAGCGUGGAAUCUCGUUUCUGCCUUCUGCAGAGGGCAGCCUGGAGAGCGCCUCCCGCCACCUGAGAACCAGAGAGGAUGCGAGGAGCCACCGAGAGAGGUCCAGGGCCCAAGUUAGCACUGCCACCUGGAGGUGUGGGCCAGGCCCCUUGCCCCUCUGGGGCACGGCAGAGCCCUAUUCCCCUGGCCCCCGGCUCUACAGCAGAGGGGGCCAGUUGUGCUGGUAGGGCAGCCACGCCUGCCUGAUGAAGUAAGAGUUGGUGGGUAUACCCUUCAGUCCCUCAACCUCACAGACAGCUCCCCCGGGGGAGCGAGCCAGAGACACACCUAUUCACCACUUCGUGCUUAAUUUGCUUAUCUGUAGUCACUGUCCUGUUUCCUAUGUCCCCACUGUGCCCCUAGGCUGGAGUCACCUCCUAGAAAAACUGCUUGCACCCAAAUCCUUGUCUUAGGGCCUGCUUCUGGGAGCCCAACUGCAGAGCCACACGGGGCUGGGUCACUCCGAGCCUGGGGGCCAGCAGGGAGCUGUGCUGGGAGAUGCUGUCUCCAUGGCCUUGUGGCUCCAGCGUUGCCUGGCUCUUCCUCAAUGUGGCUGCCUCACCCCCAUACCCAGGGCAUGGAAAAGUCAGGAACUUCUGCCUGUGGUCUGGCUUGUAUAGUGACCUUCUGCUCCCAGGACGUAGCAUCCUCCUCCAUGGGAAGACCGGGCAGUUGGGAAAAAAAUGAAACUGCUUGGGGCCGGCUUCAGGAGGAGCAGGAGGGAGCUCUCACUCACCUCCUGUGAAAUGGGUGUGCUGGCUUUGUAUUUAGAGAGAAGGCUGUCAGGGGAGAGGGGAGAAAGGGCUGAUUCAUCAGUUUCUAAUGACACUAAUAGGCAGCAUCUGUGAGCCCUCCUGAGGCUUCAUCACAGGAGGAAGGGGGUGAUUUUCUUGCUGCGGCUUCGACAUCAGAGUCCCCAUCUCCGCCUCCCUGAAGUGUGUCAGGCACUGGCUUUUCACAGGAAAGCUGCCUGAUGCCAGGGCAAAAAGCAAGUCAUAAAAUAUUCAUCUGCUGAGGCCGGAGAAUGGAAGCGAUCGUGUCCUCCUGGAGAGGUAGAGUCCUAAAUUAAAGCUGUGCACAGACCCAGAAAAAAGCACAUGCCCAACCAGCAGACAGUCCCAGGCACAUGUGGGAACUACACAGCCUCGCAUGUACACAAAAGCAAGUGCCUAACAUGCACACACGCACACAUAUGUGUACCAGUCACACACCUAUGCGGCACUCAAGCCAGCGCUGAGGACACAUGGAUGCCACAUGGGAACACGCACGCACAAUGCACGUACAUGUGACCCCCACUGAACGUGAGCACCCACUCACAUAUCUAUUCCGCUAUCAUUGCAAUGAAAUGCUGACAUCUUAGCUGGUGUACUGGGCACAGAAGAGCCCAUGACCCGGCUCUGACUUUGGAACUAUAGUCGCCUGUCUGGCUGUCCUGGGGAGGCUGGGAAGAAAGCAAAUGCUGUGCCGGGAGAAGUGUGACUCAGAGGUAGGUUACACAACUCCAUCCUGCCUGUGUGCUCAGCCCAGGAUGGGGCCAAAAGGAAGAAAGCUUGCAAAUGUGAAAGUGGAAAGGGCUGCUACAUUUCUGGAAGCUUCCACAUACCAUGUUGCUUGUCUGGGCUGGUGGAGGCUGAGGCUCCCUGAGGGCAGCAUGUGGUGCUCUUGCACUGUCAUGACCCCAGAGGGGUGGGGAGUCACCUUCCCACUAGAGCCAGACCUACUCCUGCCUAUCUGACCUGCCACCCAGGGCUCCAGCCCGCCUGCAGCGACAGCGGCUCAGACCCUGGGCUCUUAAGGUAAGCAUGUAUGUUGGCCUGGGCUUGCAAGGGUGAUUCUGCCUUCAGAUUGUUCUAGAAGCUCUCUGAUGGAGCAGCUCACAACGUAAGACUGAUGCCAGACCUAAUUUUUUGAAACCACCUCAGUUCGCAGACCUCCUGAGAGAACGACAAUGUUCCAGGUCCUUGGGAUGCUGCGCUUUUCCCUUUCUCCAUUCUGCAACUAUCCCCUGAACAUAUACCGGGAGCUAGGGCCUGGGGUGACAGAGCUGGCUGCCCUAGGAUCCCACCUCCUACAAGGCAAGCAGACAAGGGCCAAGAGACUAUUGCUGUUUGCUCUUGGGGAAGGGGACUCUGAUUCUAGGAGAUUAAGAAGUUGGCCAAAGAGCUAAGUAUGUGUUUGAGUGGGUGGGAGGUGGGUGGGCCAGGCGUUGGAGGAUGGAAGGAGGAGAUUUAAAUUCGGAGCAGAAAAGCAGCAUUCACAAAAAGAGCACAGCUUCCUACAAAGGCAAUUAUAGAUCAGGGGCUGCCAAACUACAGUUUAUGGGCCGAUUCCAGCUUACAUCCUGUUUUUGUUAAUAAAGUUUUAUUGGCAUGCAGCCACGGCCGUUCGUUUAUGUAUCAUCAUUGGCUGCUUUUGAGCAACGAUGGCAGAGUGGACCAGUCACAGCAUGGCCCUCAAAGCCUAAGAUAUUUACCAUCUGACUGUUUACAGAACACAUUUGCCAACCCCUAUUCUAGAUCGAUCAGUUAGAUAGAACCCAUUGUAGAAUCCUCAGAACACCCAUAGACUAUCUAGAACCCACUGCCUAAGUCUAGAGCCCAGCACGGUUUUCUAGAGCUCCCUGUAAGAAUAACAUUUGUGUGGGGAUUUAGCCGUUUACAGUGAGCUUUUGCAUCAAUUAUCCCAUUUAAUCCUUCAACAAGCCUGUGUGAGGUUAAUGGUAAUUUUAUCCCAAUUUUGCAGAUGAAAAAACUAAGACAAAGGGAAAUAAAGAGACUUGCUGAAGACCACAUGGCUGGGGACAGCCGAGCCCUGGGCAGCCCGAUCCUAACGUUCCAUGCUCUUUCCACCACAUUAACCUACAGAUGUUUCUCUGUCACACAUUCCACCACCGAGCUGCCCUCCCUGACAAGCCAUUUCCCUCCUCCUUCCUAACAUCUCUGCUGCCACUGAGGAAGCCUUUUUGUCCAUUGUGCUGCCUUAGUGGGAGAGAGCGUUUGGAAGAGAAUCGAAUUUCCUUUCUGCAUCUGUGUGCUGGUGCCCAGUGCACCCUGGGACGCUAACGAACAGUGACAGAUGAGCUUCAAUUGGCUGGCGCGUGUGAGGAACCACUGGACCAGGCAAAAGAAAGCAUCAUCGGAGCCCAGCAAGGGAGGAGGAGAGAGGCUUUGCUUCAUGAAAGCCUGAACAGCAUCCAACCGAAACCAGCCGCCGCCGCGCCCUGACGUGGUACUCUGCAGUUUUCAGAGUGCAUCGCAUCCAUUAUCUCCCCUGACCCACAGACAGGCCGGCGAAGAAGGCUGAUAUGAGGUCACCCAGCCCCCUUCACAACCUUGGACCAGCAAGGCCAUUGCAAUAAAAGCCGAGGUUGGGAAGAGUGAGGCUCAGAGACCACAGAGAUACUUUGACACAUGGAAAAAGGCAAGACUUCCUUCCCAGGAGAUUUAUCAUUCUUCAAAAAAAUGGGGUUCUCAAAGAUUCAAGUUCACGGUGAAGAGAUGACAGUACAAGUGCUGGGAGCAAAUCACCGGGUCGACUCCAGCAGCCGGGCAAGCCCACGAGAGAGAGAGCAGGAACAGAGACUGGUGCUGGCUCAUGCCAGCUGAGCACUAAGGAGGUCCACUGGCUGGGAUUCCACUGGUGUCUGUCCCUGGGCGUCACCACACCUGGGAGGCUGGCGUGGGUGCCUGAGACCAGGAAGGUGCUUGAGACCCAUGAGGGUCUUGGCAGGUGCUGGCCACCCCUCAUUAAUCACCUCAACUGAAUCUGGACUUCAAGGGACAAAGGCGUUCACUGGAGUUCAGCGGCUUCCAUUUAUCAGGCAGAUGUAAUCUCCUCAAAUAGCUGCCAAGUCCUGCUCUUCCUGGAGUUCCCUAAGACAACUGCUUCCCCAGGAGGUGAAGGGGCAUUUCCUUCCCCAGGAAGAGAUGCCAUCUGCAUGCAGUAACUGGUCCUUAGAGAAUGCUUGCCGAUUGGAUGGAUGGAUAACAGAUGAGUGAGUGGAUAAAUACACCGAAGAGUUCAACACAGUUAGGGAGGUGUGGAAAUCAAGGCUACGAGUCGGAAGUCACCUCCUCUCAAUCAACCAGCCUGUGCUUGGUGGACAAAAGCCUGAAACCUCAGCUUUGGGGUCCAAAAGCCCCCCUCCUCGUGUUCCUCCCACUGCCUGGGGCAUUACAGGGCCACCAGGGAGACUGACGCUGGAGCCAGUGGGCUGAGUGACCCCUGGCAAUGCUGGGCAAAGAGAAAGAAUAAGCAGAGUCACUUGGCUGCGCUGGAGCAGAGAGGCUGGCAGUAGAGGGAUCUCGAGGACUCUCAGAAUCACUGGGAAAGCUGGAGACACAGACUUGGAAAUGGACCAGAACCAAGAAAGGUUGGCGAAGACAGCCUUGUAGACACAAAUCCCUUUACACUUGGACACGGAGAAAAGAAUCAAGAUGGAUGGCCCCAGCCCUCCUCGCUGGCUUGUACACCUGCCUGCCCCGCUCCUGCCCCUUCACCACCUCCCUCCUGGCUGGUCUCUUGACAAGUUCAUUGCUGUUCAGCAGAAAGGGAUCAGCAGAGUCUUGCUUCUGGAGAAGUUAAGUGCAGGCCGACAAUUCCUCAGGGGUUCAGUGGAUGAAAGCCCGCAUAGAGGGUUUGGAAGAGCUUCACAGAGGCCCCCAUUCUCCUCAGACGUCAAGAGAGCUAUUGUUUGGGGAAAACAAGUUGUACUGGAGACUCUGGGAAUUGCAGAGAGGUUCUGCAAGAAUUCAAAGAUGCAAAUGGGAACUAAAAGACAUGAUCAGCAUUUAGUGAGUGCAUACUAUGUGGUUGGCUUCCUGCUAGGCCCUUUCAAGUCAUUGUUUCAUGGAAUUCUCAGAACUCUGGGGGACUGGCCAUUGUUAUGAACCCACAGAGGUUAAAUAAUUUUCUGAGGUCACUGUAUGGGUAGGAGGCUAAGACUCAAACUCAGGCCUGCCUGUUCUCACAGCCCACAGUUUUCAUCAGUGUGUAUUUCAUCCAGGUUUGUAGAGAGGAAAAGAAAACGGGCACACAUGUGCACAGGGUUGAAAUGGCAGCAGCACAGAACAAAGAACAAUAAGGCUAGAAGCCCCCCAGAAGGGACUUGUACCCCAACCCCAUCACCAGCUCCUGGGACACUUUGGAAAUAUCCCUUUGCAGUUCUGCACCUUACUCCCACUGGUGACAUGGCAGGUUUGAAGUCCAAGGUCCCUCAAGUCCAGUUUUUACCCUCUCCCCUUCCCAGUCCACAGAUGAGGACAGUGUGGCUCAUGAGGCAGGGCCACAGAAUUUUGUGGCCAGUCUGGUCUGACCUGUCUGGGGGACCUUGAAUCCCCUUGAUAACAACCCCAGGGACUCCAGGCCCAGCCAGUAAGCCUCCAAGAUGGAAAUGAAUGAGGCCCAAGGCUGUUCCUGCCAUCUUAGAACAGGGCUGAACAAAGUCUGUCGCCUGCCAGCCUGGAACACUGUCGGCAUUCAAUACCCAUUUAUUGAGCAGAUGCAGUAUUUUUAGCACGACUUCCCCAAGUGCUUGCUACAUGCUGGCACUAGCAGCAGCCCUGAAUGCCUCGUCUGCAUUGAAUUCCCUCCACCCAGAGCCACCAAGAUGUUCUGUGACAGCCAGGCACUUGACCACCUCUGUCCCAGGGGAGGAAGGAUUUCAGGGCAAGCCUUUACUGAAUCUGAUGGAAAGAAACAUUUCUAGCAGUAAGGCUAGAAGAAGGACAGAGUGUCUGGUGGAAUAAAGAGUAUGUGAUACAGCA